GACUCGGUAGCAGACUGUCUGCAUCUCCUUGUCGUUGUGAGCCUCAGAUAGAAUCGAUAACUGGAGAAGCUGCUCGUUCGAUUCGGGCCCGGGUCC